rnacentral:lncRNA from 11 species
UUUCCUCUUCCGGCAGUGGCAGUAAGCAAAGAUGCUACACCUGUGAAUAAUGCAUUAUUAAGAGAGCGAGAAGGCAAUGGAAAAGGAUACUGCUAACUCUGCCGGGAAAGCAAAUGGAGCACCCAGCUUUGUGUUUCUACAGAGGCCCCAUCUAUGCUGCCAUACAAUGCAGUUUGAAACAGCAUUAUAUGAUCAUUAUAAGGUUGGGAGGGCAUGAACAGCUGUGCAGUUCACCUAUAUAAGUCCUAUUUCAAAAAUUAACACGGAGGAAUAGAAGGCACAGCUGACUUACGGAAGCUCUCCCAAACAAAGGCACAUGGAAAUUGAUCUCAGUUCUGCAUCCUGUAAUCCUUUGCUCAAAGAUUCGCAGUUAGGGUUGCCAGAGUGGAAACUGGAGAAGACUUUCACCUUUCUCCCAUUUUCAAGGAGUCCCAAUGUGUCUUCACCAUUUCUGGACAAGCUAGGAUGCAACUUUCCUGAUUCCGAGGGAGGGAGCGCUUCAUCACAUUUUACAAAGAGAACAAAAUCCUGUAAUUUGUCUCACAUCUGGAUAUUAGAUCAUUAUCUACCCCUAGGCUUGGCAUAAUCUGCUCACUAUACAGCAUUACACUGUGGUAAUUUAACGCCCUAUUCUAAAACAGGGCAUACUGGUGUAGUGAACUUUAUUAUUAAGAUACAAAUGAACAUAUUCAAAACUUGAUUAAUUAAAUCAAUAUAUACGCUGAAUAGAAGUUAGUCCUCAUGUGGAUAUUUAAUUUCUCUUUCUUAAUAAAUACACCAAUGUUGUCUAGUUGUACCUUAAUUGCCCAAUAGUAUCAGCAUGGUCCCCCAGUAGUUUUCUAUAUGACAAAAGCAAACAGCUGUCCUGAGUGGCACAAAAAUGCACACUAUUGCAGUAAAGCUCACUUACCUUUCUUUAUCUUCAUGAGCUCCCUCACUUCCCAAGAGGUUUGUAGCUCACAAUUCGUCUUUGAAAUGUGUUCUGUACCAACAGCCCAUGGAAGAAAAAUGGUUGAUCUCCAC